AGCGAACGCUGGCGGCAGGCCUAACACAUGCAAGUCGAACGCCUGUAGCAAUACAGGAGUGGCAGACGGGUGAGUAACACGUGGGAACGUGCCCUUCGGUUCGGAAUAACUCAGGGAAACUUGGGCUAAUACCGGAUACGUCCGCGAGGAGAAAGAUUCAUCGCCGAAGGAUCGGCCCGCGUCCGAUUAGCUAGUUGGUGGGGUAACGGCCUACCAAGCCGACGAUCCGUAGCUGAUCUGAGAGGAUGAUCAGCCACACUGGGACUGAGACACGGCCCUGACUCCUACGGGAAGCAGCAGUGGGGAAUCUUGGACAAUGGGCGCAAGCCUGAUCCAGCCAUGCCGCGUGAGUGAAGAAGGCCUUAGGGUUGUAAAGCUCUUUUACCAGGGACGAUAAUGACAGUACCUGGAGAAUAAGCCCCGGCAAACUUCGUGCCAGCCGCCGCCGUAACAC
rnacentral:rRNA from 1 species